GAAUGCGAUUAGACCAACAUUAAUGCACCGAAUCACAUCAGAAUUCCGUAGUUAAGCAUAUUUAGGCGAGAGUAAUACUAAAAUGGGUGACUUCAUGGAAAGUCAUUGUGUUGCACCCC
rfam:Gossypium arboreum cultivar AKA8401 contig_7652_3, whole genome shotgun sequence.